AAGAUUUUUGAGCAAGGCAGUGACAUACAACAACAGAAUAGUAAUGAUAGCUCUCUUCUUGAUUGAACACUCAGAGUAGGUUGCACCCCGGGCUGCCUGAUUACUCAUUUAACCUUGAGCAGGACACCACAGGGCUCUUCUUUUGGACAGAGAAGAAACUUUCCCCAGUGCACAGAGCCAGCUAGUGCUAGAGCUGGGACUGGCAUCCAAGGCUACCUGUUUGACUCCAAGCCCAGAGCGCUUUCACCCCCAGGCCCACGUGGACAUCUACGAGAAACAGCCUGUGCCCUUUGGCCUGGUGCGCUUUGGUGUGGCGCCUGAUCACCCCGAGGUGAAGAAUGUCAUCAACACAUUUACCCAGACGGCCCAUUCUGGCCGCUGUGCCUUCUGGGGCAACGUGGAGGUGGGCAGGGACGUGACGGUGCCGGAGCUGCAGGAGGCCUACCACGCUGUGGUGCUGAGCUACGGGGCAGAGGACCAUCGGGCCCUGGAAAUUCCUGGUGAGGAGCUGCCAGGUGUGUGCUCCGCCCGGGCCUUCGUGGGCUGGUACAACGGGCUUCCUGAGAAC
rnacentral:lncRNA from 10 species